rnacentral:rRNA from 1 species
UGCUGCCGGGGAGGCGCCCGCCGUCCCCCCGGCCCCACCGGCCGCUGCCCUCUCGCCCUCCGGGCGCUGGGGCUGCUGGUCGGAACACGGCGCGGGAUGACGCCAAGGAACACGAGAAAGCUGAGGCGCCGGCGGGCCGCUCGAGGUCCGCGCCGGUCGCCGAGGCCAACGAAAAAGAAAAUAUGACUCUCGGCAACGGAUAUCUCGGCUCUCGCAUCGAUGAAGAACGUAGCGAAAUGCGAUACGUGGUGUGAAUUGCAGAAUCCCGUGAACCAUCGAGUCUUUGAACGCAAGUUGCGCCCGAGGGACCCUCCCGAGGGCACGCCUGCCUCAUGGGCGUUAGAAGCCCAUCCACGCUCGCUGCCUGACGGCAGGGAYGCGGACAUUGGCCCUCCGAACCGCGAGGUGCGGUGGGCCCAAGUGUGCGGCCGUCGUGCGUGGCCGGGAGCGGCGAGUGGUGGGCUACUGCGCGCGCCACCCCGAGCCCCGUACCGACACGGGGCCUUUUCUGACCCCCUAACGAGGAGCGYGCGGCGCUCGCGCCGCGCGGUGUCUUCGGACC